UACGUAGGGUGCAAGCGUUGUCCGGAAUUAUUGGGCGUAAAGAGCUCGUAGGCGGUUUGUUGCGUCGGCUGUGAAAUCCCGAGGCUCAACCUCGGGUCUGCAGUCGAUACGAGCAAACUAGAGUGUUGCAGGGGAGACUGGAAUUCCUGGUGUAGCGGUGAAAUGCGCAGAUAUCAGGAAGAACACCGACGGCGAAGGCAGCUCGCUGGGACGGUACUGACGCUGAGGCGCGAAAGCGUGGGGAGCGAACAGG
rnacentral:rRNA from 1 species